GCCGGGUGUGGUGGUGCACGCCUGUAAUCCCAGCUACUCAGGAGGCUGAGGUAGGAGAAUCACUUGAACCUGGGAAGCGGGGGUUGCAGUGAGCUGAGAUCGCACCACUGCACUCCAGCCUGGGUGACAGAGCGAGACUCUGUCUCAG
rnacentral:SRP_RNA from 1 species